GUCCCCCUGUUGACUAGAGAGAUGUUGUUCUUGGGAUUAGAGAUGUCUGACCUUGAAGGUCACAGGUCACCAUCCUUGAAUAAGGAGCAGGAGCGCAAGGUUAGGAUUGAAACUUGAGGUGCGUCUGUUGGAGAUCACAGGGAAAAGCCUUCCAAACAAAGAGGAAUGCCUCGGUCAGGGUGAGAAAGGACAAAUUCCCCAAGAAUUAUGAGCUCCUUCCGGAUGAUCGCAUACCUGCAGACCCCCAAAGGAUGCACUGUGGCUGAAAGAGGGGAGAAAGGAGAGGGAGGAUGGCUGGAGCCAGCAGACCAUGUUAUUUAUCAUUAUUCGCAUUCUGGGCAGGCCCAGAGGCCCUGAUGCUGGCAGUUUUAUGGAGAUAGCAACAGAAAGGACAUCCCGUCAUCACAGCAGCCUGGAGGUGGAGCGCUGGAAGAAAGGAGGCUGCCCAGAAGUAUCUUUGCAGGAAGGGAAGAAGAGAUUCCCUCAAGGGCAAGGAAGUAACAGAGGCUACAAGAGGAAAUUGCACUUCUAAUCUGUGUCUAACAUAACUGUGACAGCUUCCCACUGUGAGAUCCUGAAGAGCUCUGGGGUGUAGGUUCCAGCUGCAUGCCUCAGUUUCCCCACAGAAAUAACUAUAGAGGGGCAAAGAGUACCUCAAGCCUUAUUUCAGGGUUUCAAGGACUGAAGUGAGUAAAGAAACCUCAUUUCUCUAACGUGAUUCUCAUCUAAGUGAGGAAAGAAACGUAUUCACUAGCUCAGGUACACCUGGCUCGUGCCCAUGCACCCUGCAGGCAGGAGUCUGUGCUUUCUGCCCCUGGGUACCUAUGCAUGAGCAGUACCUCUGCUUUCCAGGGAAGAAGGUUGCAUUGGUGGUGUGAGCAUGAUCACAGCAUAGCUUUGUGACAGAUCCCCUCAGCUCUUACGCUCAGAGUUCAAGUCUAGGCUCUAAGGUAUGCAGGUGAAAUCCACUGGGGCUGAGAGGAUUGAAGGAUGCAGAAAAGUGUUUGAGGAUCUGAGAACUUCCACACAACCUCAGCCCACUGCGCUGAAGCCCCACAGUUUAACCUGACUCCACUCCAGACCCUUCUCUGGUGUCAAUAUCAUCUAAAGGACCUGAAGGUCUGAACGACCUCACUGUAUUUUGGCACAUUUUGAAGAUGGCAGCCAAGACCUCUUUGUGCCAUUCAUGCAAACAAUGCACAGAGAGAUGUGCAGGAAAACUGCAGAGGCCAAGGCUAGCUGUGAUGCUUAAACUCGAGGGCAUUUUCCCUUUAGGGAAGGGAAGGAUGGGGCCAGGAGCAGUCCCCCACCCAUGGAACAGCCCCAAGCAACGCUAGAGGGAGCCCCGGGCUCAAUUAAUUAACGGGCUAAAAUUAGCCGAGGGGGAGAAACAUUGAAGCCGGGUGGGAAAGUGAGAACGGUGUUAGUUGUGUUUUCAAGGGGUUUUCAAGCUGCAUUUCUGUCAAGUUACACCAAAAAGCGACAUGCAUGGCAGCGAGGCAACACUAGUGCAAAAUGCAGCAUGGAAAUGGCUCUAUGCUCUGAGUGCAGUGGGAGGAGGUCUCAGGCACAAGACUAUGGCAGAGGGUUCCAGAGGCUGAGAUCAGCUCUUGGGUGCUGGCUGCAUGGCUACAGAGGGGUCUCCUAUUUUAGGGAUGCUUGCAGGGUGCUGCCUGCAUGCAGAAGGGUCUGCAGAUCCACCCAGGGAUGUCACAGUCUUAGUUUGCUCUUCUGCAUUCUUUCCUACAUGGUGCAGAGCUUUGCUGGAUGUCCAAAGCCAUCCUGAAGGCAAUGGGGGGUUUUCCACUUGUUUCCUUUGGUGCAGACCUUACUAGAGCUCCUGUGGGUGGGGGAAGGGGAAGGCAGGCUCCCAACAGGACCCCAUGGCAUAGUGGAUGGGAUGGAACAAUGUGGGUGAUCAACUCAGGCUUGAGUGUUAGCAAAACUGAACCAAAAAGGGAGCUCAGCAGAAGCCAGAACAUAAAAGCUGCCAUUGGGCUCAUUUGUUAUCAUUUUAAUCUUAUUAACAUCCCAUCCAGUGGCUCUUUGGAGAAUAAAACAUUGAUAUUAUAUAUUUCUCUUGGCAGAAACCAACCAACCUUAGAAAAGAUGAAGUACUCAGUAAAGGAAAAAAAAAAAGGAAUCAAGUUUUAUAUUGUCUUUUUAAUUAACCGAUCUAAUAUUGCCUGAGUAUGCAGGAGAACAAGGAAGUAGCAGAGAUUAUGUUAAGGGUUUGCUGUAUCCCAUGUUCUAAGUGUAAAUAAUGUUCUUGUUAAUUUAAAACCAAGGCUGACUGUCUUUAUGACUUCAUUGCACUCACAUUAGCUCUACCUUUAGGCAGUGUCAUGGGUGCAAAUAGAUUGGGUUGAAAACUUCCCUAGAGCCACUUUAAAGUGACAUCUAAUCUUUCCCUUUAGUGGUGUUAAUUCAACUUCACAAGAGCAUUUGAAGCACCAUUAGGCAGAGAAAUGGACCUUCUCUCCUGCUGGUGCCCUUAUCCAAAUCACAACCCCCAAAAAUCUGUUUCAUAUCAGGCCAACUCUCCAGGGCUCUAGAGAGCAGCUGAAGGAGACGUGGGUUUCCUCUUUAUGAGAGUUAAAUACAUAAAGGAUUUAUGUUUUGCAUUUCUUACUGCCUGGUGGAAGUCUCCAAGCAUCUUGGGAACCUCCUGGCUCUCACAAUGCAGUGGGAAUGGGGACAGAGAAAGACUUGAGGACGGAACCAUGGAGACAGAGGAUUCCUCACAAACCAGAAUGCCUGCCAGGGUAUGGUGGCCUGCUGUUGGGAUGGAUUUUAACCAAGGAAAAGCGGAAAAUGAAGUGCUGGGAAGGAAACCCCAUGAGUUUUGUGAGUGCCUCUCAUUGUAUAGCCCAGGAGCAGAAGAUCCAUAGGCUGCAGCUCAGCCUUGGCCUGCCCUCGCUGCCCCUCCUGCUUCUGCCCUUUGGAUCCCAACGCUGCUCUCCAAAUGUGUGAGAUGUAAACUGUUUGAAGGGAAUGGGAAGCAAGACCCCAUUGCACAAGUCCUGCCCCCAUGCACAGCCUUUGCUCACCUGUACAGAUUGUGGAAACUGACCUAGGAGAUAAUGCAAUGUUGACGUGAGACUUACUGAUAAUUCAGUUCUGUUUGGAUCACUGGUGCUUAUAGAAUUUGAGGGGGGACAAGAAGGAAGGAUAUGGC
ensembl:lncRNA